GGUUGCACCAAAUAGGAGAGUAGCCUGUAGUAUAUGGUAGCCAAGAAUAUAGAUGGAAUUGAAAGCAUCCAUUUGCAAGUUUCUUUGUAAGUUGAAUUUCUCCUGUUCUUGAAAUGCAAAACUCUUGUGCUUUUUCCAUUUACUAGUUGGGUAGCUGUGCCUCACUUUAUUUUUUCAAAUAUGAUCUUUGUGGUUCACUAUAUUUCAUUCAUUCAAUGACAUCUGAAAAAUCUUAGUGCAACUUGUUCUUAAACAGAGCAUUUACAAGGAAGAAAGG
rnacentral:misc_RNA from 1 species